GUUUUUGCGCAUGUUCCGCAAAAUAAAAGGAUAUUACUCAGCUGCAGGCCCAAGUCGCAUGUUUUACGAGGGCUGCACAAUUUAUCGCCUUAAAUUCCGCGAGAGAAAUGGGAGAGAGUCGGCGGAAGAGUGAGUGCAACUGCUCCUUCAUUAACAUUUCUAUUUUUUUUUUUUUUUUUUUCAAAUAAUCCAACAAAAAACGCGCGAAAACAAUCAAUAAAAUUAAGCAUUUUGGCGAACCCGCGAGAUACCAAGAAGCGACUCGAGUGCUCAUCGAUUUAUUUAUGAGCCGGUGAAAACGACUCAGAACUCAGAACAGGAACGAAGAUACCCAGAUACGGGUAUCGGGAGAGCGGUAGAGCGGUAGAGUGGCCUCCCAGACCCACUUGAGUGCUUUCGCCGGCCAUAAAGCACUCGCUCUCAUGCUCCAUCAUUAUUGGCUCCCAAAUUCCGUAUAUGGGUCAUUCCACUGGGAAUAGGCUGGGACUGCAAAAGGCCAGGCCAGGGAGAGUCCAUUAUAUAAUCGGCAAUUGAAAUUCCGCUUUUGAUUUUCGACAGCUCUCAGUUGUGGUUGUUGUUUAAAUUACAGUCGACACCUCAUCAAAACGAGUGUUUUUCCACCCGUGCGUGGGUGCAUGCGAUGCAUUUUAAUUCCGGAUCGAAGUAUCUCGACAUGAGAGGAUGCGACGGCAUAUUGUUGUAAAUGUUUGCUACAUAGUGUUGCGGCCUGGCCAACACCGAUCCCUGCCGCCGACGGCCGACAGAUGGCACUGCUGAACGACACUCCACUCUCAAUUCUCGACUCGUUCCCCGAAAAGAAACCCAAAAAAAAAGUGUUUGUAUGUUUGUUUGUUGGUUUGUGGCGGCGGCCAAGCCUUCGCAGCUAUUUUGAUUUUUGUUUUUUGGGUUCCCAACACGCACAAAAGCGUCAUCAUCGUGGUUGUGGAGCACAGGAGGAGCGGUGGGGAUUUAAACAUGCGUAUGGCAGAAAUAAAAAUAAAAAUAAAAAAUAAAAUCGCACAAAUCCGGCGACGAGGGGAGUUGUUUAUUUAUGAGUUCGCUGAGGUGGAAACACACGAAGCAUUCUCAAUGAGUCUUCAGUUUAUAAAGAUUAUGUAGCAACUGUCACAAGUCAGCUGCGACAAUUUAUUAAAUGUGUAUUUUUAUAAACAAACUAUUUGUGUUUAUCAACGGAAUUUUUCCGCUUAAAUGUUUCCCAGGAGAAUCACUAUAAUGUUCAAUGCCAAAAAAUUGGUUAUCUUGAGAGUAGGAAACCCACGAGUUCCCCCAGCCGAUCUUCAACAUCUAACCAUAUAAAAUCUAUGGAAAAAGAAACAUCUGCCGCACCUCUAUGGGGGCCUGCCCUAUUUGGCUUUGAUGCGACGGCACCCAAAGACACAAGAAACAAUAAAGGCAAUUAUGAUUAAUAAAAUAUGGCUGAUUAUAGAGCCGAGACACAUCGGAAAAGGCCAACAGAGCCCCGAAAGAAGGUCACUGAUUUUUGCAAGUGUACGGUGAUGGUGGGUGGAACCCUCUUCCUGAGUGUGUGUCUGUGUGUGUGUUUUUGCAACUGAAGGCACAAUGAUAAAUGUGCGAGCGAAAGGCACAAAAAAAAUAGAAAUUGGGUGAAUAAAUAGCCCAGAUUCCGUUGAGCAAGCAAAAAAAAAAAAAGUAUAGUAAAAAGGAACUCGAGGAGAAAGCCGGCGCAAGGCAAGUGGAAACAAACACAAAAAUUUCGCCGACGGCGAAUGCGAAUGCGAAUGCGAAAGGACGACAAGCGGCUAAAAGCGCGAGCGCUGAGCAGGGCAGAAAUUGGGGAAGCCAGGAGACCCGGAGAGCAAUAAAAUCAACAAACUCCGAGUAGAAUCCCAUUUAUCAAUGGCAAAAGGCAAAAGGAAUUCGGUGCGGAAAGCCAAAAACACAGUUAUGUAGUUUUCUGGCCAGGAGAAAGUCAGGGAAAUGGAAACGAGAGCGCCAUCAGGGCCAGGAUGCGUGAGAGUAGUAGGACUAAGAAAAAUAAGGACUAAGAUAUACAUAAAUAAUAAAUAAAUUAAAAUAA